CGGUGCCUCCCGGAGGGCGGCUGUUUGUGCUGGGGGGAUUGUCGCCUAGGGAGGAGUUAAUGCGGAUAAAUUCGAAGUCACAGCUGAGGCUUAUAGAUAUGUAAACAUAUAUAUGUGAUUACACGUCUAUUUAUAAAGGUGAUUUUGAGGCCGUCAUAAUGAGAAACCAAGAAAUUUCAGCUUGCCUAGGGAAUGUUUCUUACACAGAUGUACGGCACUGUGCAGGCUGUGAUGCUGCAGCCGGAUCCCAGUGCUUUGGGAAGAUUAAACGUGGUCUCCCCAAAGCCAAAGACCCCCAGACUGUGCCCCCAGCCGCAGGCCUGCAGGCACAGACCAUGCACAGCACUGCGGAGGAGCGCUGUACAGGAUCAUUUUUGUCUCAGAUUCCUGCAUUUUCCUGAGAACCAGAUCCUGCAUCUUCUUAAAGCACAACAGGAAUAGAGAUCAGUGCUUGCCCAGCCAACAUUUGUGUUUGGAAAGAAGGACCACCCUUUGAAGGUAAAAACUUUAACUUCUGUUUUUCAUCAUUGAUAAAAGAAUACUGGAAAUGAAGAUUGUAUAGACAAUUCUAGUAGUAAUAAAAGAUUUUAGCCCAGGAUAAGGCUUGCA
rnacentral:lncRNA from 1 species